rnacentral:rRNA from 1 species
GUCCACGCCGUAAACGAUGGGUGCUAGGUGUGGGGGGUGUCGACUCCCUCCGUGCCGAAGCUAACGCAUUAAGCACCCCGCCUGGGGAGUACGGCCGCAAGGCUAAAACUCAAAGGAAUUGACGGGGGCCCGCACAAGCAGCGGAGCAUGUGGUUUAAUUCGACGCGACGCGAAGAACCUUACCAAGGCUUGACAUGCACUGGAAUGUCGUAGAAAUACGGCAGCCUUUCGGGGCCAGUGCACAGGUGGUGCAUGGCUGUCGU